GUCCAAGGUGAUUCCCUCUCCAAGGGGCUAACUAGUGCCCCUUUUAGAAACACAGUAACUUGGAAGAAAACCUGGCAUGUCUGAGGUCUCUGGGAAACAAAAGAUGGUUGUUGCUUUUGCCUGCCUUGGCUGUUUGCAUGU
ensembl:snoRNA small nucleolar RNA SNORA67